rnacentral:tRNA from 1 species
GGGGCCGUAGCUCAGCUGGGAGAGCGCCUGGUUUGCAUCCAGGAGGUCGGGAGUUCGAUCCUCCCCGGCUCCA